AAUAUUGAUGCACAGUAGAUACAAUGUUUUUUGGGUUUUUUUCACAUUCUGUAGGCCUACACAAUGCAGUUUACCUCAAAGUCUGAGAGUUUUGAAUCCAAAGGCUGUCACAACUUCUGUUUUCAGCUCUGGAGGAAGUUCAGCAACUUCAGUAUAGAGAAGCUUUUAGUGCUUGGUCCUGCUGGAAAAAGGUGUCGACUCUGUGCAGUGCUGUCAGUUGAACACUAGGGGAGGUGAUCUUAAUGGACUGAGAGGCUCUCAGGCAGUGUAGACACUGAAGCUUUUCUUUUGCAUCUCCUUCAUGAAUUGCUUUUUUAUUAACAUGAAUAUUAUACACAAGAUUGUGAACAUAAAUAAGUAAAUCACCAAAAAUUACAUUCUAAAUGUGUUUUAUGGACUGAUAUGAUUGUAGUCUAUUGUCCAUCAUGCGUUCUAAGUAUUUUAUCAACUCAUGGGCUUUUCUGCCAUCUGCUGGCCAAAGUCUUGUACAUGCACCUUUGAGUCUUAAAGGAUAGGUUCACAAUUUUUCAAGUCUGUUCUAAAACAAUAGUCAGGUUCCUGUAUGA